CAGAUUUUAAAAACACCUUAUCUUUGAAAUACUUUUCCAUUCGCCUAAUUUUGGAAUUGAUCCCCUGAAUGUUUGUCAUUUUGAAAUUAACCCUAACAUGAGAAUACCACACCAACAUGGUCCAGCACAAAGUUCGGAUAAAAGUUUAGGCCCCAUUACCGAACCAUAUCAGUAGUAACUGAAGUACAUUUUAAUCCCACAUCGAAAAUAUGGAGAUCUCACCAUUUCAUAUACCAGCCCCUAUGUCUGGCGUAGAUCGAGCAAUGGAACAAGUUUAUUUUGCGAAGAUUUGAUGAUUGAUUGAAGUUAUUUUCAGUGGGUUUUUUGGGUCUGAAUUUUUUAUCUGAAAAUUAGGGUUAUUAUUUUUUGAAAAAUGGAACAAAUUUAUUUUGCGAAGAUUUGAUGAUUGAUUGAAGUUAUUUCCAGUGGGUUUUUUGGGUCUGAAUUUUUUAUCUGAAAAUUAGGGUUAUUAUUUUUUGAAAAAUGGAACAAAUUUAUUUUGCGAAGAUUUGAUGAUUGAUUGAAGUUAUUUUCAGUGGGUUUUUUGGGUCUGAAUUUUUUAUCCGAAAAUUAGGGUUAUUAUUUGUUGAAUUUUUUUUAACAUUUUUAGAUGGUUUAGGUUUUCUGCUAGUGAUGUGAGACGUGGUGCAAAUUCAUGAUUCUUUAGCUUCUACUCUGUCGAUUACACCAGCAAUCUUUGGUUUAAAUUUUGUAUAAUCAGUCUUUUUUUCCCGAUUUCGGAUAAUUUGGUGUCAGUCGCGGUUGACUAGCCGCCGCCGGUGGGGCUGAAGCGGAGCAAAAGUAGCGUGAAUGGACACCGACAACGGAAAUCUGAUCGAUAACUUCGAUUUCCUUGUUAUUGUGCCACGGGUACUCCAGGUUUUCUAUGUUGAAAUACGAUGGUAUAAUUUUAUUCAAAAAUAUAUCACUUUCACAGACUAAUGAGCAUGGUGUCUUCCUGAAAUUGAAAAUUUAAAAUUGGUGUUUUUUGUGAUAUUUUCUUUUGCUAAGCUUCGCAUUGCGCACAUAAUCGUUUGUCUGAUAUUAAAUUUCAGUAUUUAUUUCUUCAUUAUUCUCAUAGAAGUUGUGGCUUUAAAAUUCUGGGGAAUGUAUUCAAGUUUUUAAUAAAAUUGAAAGUUACUAAAAUGAGAAUAACUGGGGAAAAUCAAGUAAAAUUUGUUGUAGUAUAACAUAAAAGUGUCAACGGUAAACACAACUCAAGGUAUUAUGAAGCUAUUCAUUUGAAUCUUUAUUGCUGUAAAUUUGUUUUUGGUCUUGAGUCAAAUUUUACAGCUUCUAAUGUUUUUUAACUAUUGUUCGAGUGGGUUGCUAUUCAAAGAAUCGAAUCCAUUAUCAUUGUUCUUUUCUUCAUGUAACUCCAUUUUAUGACUAGAAAACAUACCAGCACAGUACAAGAUAUUUUAGGUCUUUAUUUGUUUGAUGUUGCUAGCUAUAUUUCUAAACCAUUUUCUUUUCCUGGCGUGUUGAAUAGAUAAUAUGAUACUAUUGUUACAGUAAACUUAACUGCAGAAUCCCCUUCAGCAGAUAGUUCCAUCUAUAGAAAUCUCAUUGAUAAUUUCAGUCGUCUCAUCAAGAAUGUAAGGUAGUGUAUCGGAUUCCUUUUAACAGCUUCUGAAAAUUUUCUAACAAAAAUAUUUCAGAGCAUAUGAUGUUCCCUGCUAAAGUACAAAUUAUUAAGGCGAGGUACACUGACAAAAUGAUCAUUCUAGCUAUACUCGUGUGACUUCAAGACUUUGUUUUGUAAAGCCUUGCAGAGUAGAAUAACGUAGUUUUUUUAGCAUUUGAAAGUUAACCUCAUAUUUCAGUAUCAUCUCUUCAUGUUUUACGACUUGCUACCUUAAUGUUUUCAUCAUAGCUACACCAAUAUACGUAGUUUGUUACUUGGAUAUGAAUGUUAUUACCAAAAGUUUUUUCUGAUACCAGUCGUAUCUUCUAAUUGUCAAUCAUCUUAUGCUGUAAUUUAUGAAAGAAUCUUAACUUGCAAUAGGCACCUCAUUGUACAAGUGAGGCUAUGUUUGCAUUGUUCCACAUCAAGACAAAUUUGUACGAUGAUUGAAUAAACCUAAGGGGAGGGAGCAGAACUUCAUCUAAUCUAUCAAUUUUUCUGUGGAGUUGUUUAAAAUUAUAGAUGGUAUAUUCACUUGCUGAAGUCGAUAAAUGAAUGAAUAGAAUAUCUGCAAAAGAAAAAGCUGGAUGUAUGGUGUUUAGUGUUUAUGUUGAAAGUAGAAAAUUUCUAGCCUCGACUUUCUCCUCUAAGUUCUAGAGCUGUAGUCUGUAGAGCAUCAACUUGCGUCUUCAAUCAAGAAAUGAAAAUUUUAGCAUGCCUUUCACUAGUGUUUAUGAAUUUGAGUGGGCAUGCUGAUAAUAAAAGAGCCCCUUUAACUUCUCUCAUGCAGAGAAGUCCUUUAUUCCUCUUGUUCUAUUUUCAGUGUUAUCAUCUUCCUUUCCUCAUUUUUUUUCUUUUGCUUUUUUUAAAAUUCGAAUUGGAUAUUAUCAUCUUUUUCUGUUCUUGUAAAUUUGCUGCAGAUGAUACAAGUCAUGAGAGAAGUUCCCCUUAUCCGAAGAUUCCAGUGAGGGCAUGUUUGUUUGUUAGGCAAUGCAGACCAAAUAUUAUUAAUGUUGUACCUAUAAACAUUUCCUAUGUCUGGGAACCACACUUGCAAUCUGUUGAAAUAUUUCUCGCCGCAUGCACAGAAAGAUACUGUCAUCUGGACUAAGUGCUAAAACUUUGAACAGUUGUGUUACAUGUAUAUCAAAAUUUACUGAUUUGUUUAUCAAUAGAUAAUUUUAAAUCUCACCACCAAAGAAAUAAAAUAAAUUCUCCUCUUUUUUCUGCCA
rnacentral:lncRNA from 1 species